rnacentral:tRNA from 1 species
GGAUAGCUCAGUUGGUAAAGCAUGAGACUGUUAAUUUCAGGGUUGUGGGUUUGAAUCCCACCAUGGACG